GCCCCGGUGGCACAGAUGGAUAGCGCAGUCCCCUCCUAAGGGACAGGUCGGAGGUUCAAAUCCUCUCCGGGGCACCA
rnacentral:tRNA from 2 species